UGGACGCCGCCUCCCCGUCGCGCUCCCCCGAGAAGCUGGCGCGGGCCCGGCGCGGGGGAGAUGACGGGGAGCGCCCCUUCCCCGACCAACACCCGCCAGAAACCUCGCGCCCACGUUUGUUUCCAAAACCAAGGGAAAGCCAGAAACCGCGGCGACCCCGCCCCUCGCCGGCUGCUCUUGGCCAGGUCUGCGCGCGCCUCUGCGAUCCCGGCCCCGAAGGCCCCGCGCGGGCGUCUCCGCGGGCCAGGGUUGGAGGUGCGCCGGGGCGGGAGGGCCAGGGGCUUUUGCCCGCGGCGCCCGUACACUCCGACUCUUCUUUCCCUCCAAAGGAGUCAGAAGCCGUCUGGGUCUUCGGAACCGGAAUCUCCGCCUUUCCGAGCUCUACGACCCGGGGCUGGUCUCGGGGGACCCAUCAUGUCCAAUUUUGAAGAUGCCGACACGGAAGAGACGGUCACUUGUCUCCAGUUGACUGUUUACCAUCCUGGCCAUUUACAGAGGGGAAUAUUUCAAUCAAUCAAUUUUUCCAAGAGAGAGAAACUGCCUUCCAGUGAAGUUGUGAAAUUUGGACGCAAUUCCACCAUCUGUCAUUAUAUUUUUCAGGACAAGCAGGCUUCCAGAGUCCAGUUUUCUCUACAUCCGUUUAGACAGUUCAAUAGCUGCAUUCUUUCCUUUGAAAUUAAAAACCUGAGUAAGAAGACCAUCCUGAUUGUGGACAGCCAGGAGCUGGGCUACCUCAACAAGAUGGACCUGCCCUACAGGUGCAUGGUCAGAUUCGGCGAGUACCAGCUCCUGCUGGAGAAGGAGGACGGACAGUCCUUGGAGUCUUUUGAAACGCAGUUCGUUUUUUCUCCCAGGCCACUCCUGCAAGAGAACAGCUGGCCAGCACAGAGCCCCGUCCCUGAGGACGGCACCUUUUCAUCAGGCUCCACUCAGAGCGCUUUCCCCACAGAAAUGGAUGAAAAUGAAUGGUGAACAUAGCAUCCACGCGGUGACGUGGAGGUGGAAGGGCUGCAGAGGCGUCGUGUGACUAACAGAAACACCAGCUGGACUCAUAGCCUGACUCUGACGGGUAAUAAAGGAGCAACAGGAUGUUAACAUUAGGACUGAUCGCAAACCAAAGCUCUGCUGGAGCCAGCACAGAGGGCUGUGGCUAGAGGGCCGCUGAGGCAUCUCAGAACACAGGAAGAAGGGCAGAUGUUGGGCACGAUCCACACACCUUCAGCUCUGCUCCUCAAUACCUCGGGCCCCAUUUCGCAUGUGAUUUCCAUGCUAUCCAUCAUUCACAGAGGGAGUCCCCCACCCCAGCUCCAGGAAGGCUCAGCCCGGGUCCAUCAGUCAGCUCUUCUUGGGCUGUAUGAUCACAUCUUCCAAGAGCUGCUCCAGUCAGUGACUGUGUAGACAGGAGAAGUAUUUGCUCAGGGAAUGUCCACAUAAGGGUGGCAAACAGAAAUCCCGGUAUUUGUCAGCAGUCACCGAAGCUAAGUGGCAAACACUUCAUGAUACACCCAGAGGACUCCUUUGUCCCUGGGAGCUGGUUUUUCUCUGGCAUGUGUUUUAACAGAAGUGGGAUGGGGCAUGUGUUUGGUAAAGCUUUACUUUUAAAAUAAGCUAUUUAAUAUACAUACGUAUACAGUAGUAAGCGUCUUGUAGAGAAACGCACCGUAAUUUACUGUGAGGGUACUGUCAGCAUUGUGAGUGGCAGCAGCUUCCAUGUUACCUCGUGACCCCGUUCUGUCUCAGCUCCACCCUUGUUUAUCCCUUGCAUUAACUGUCAUCUGUUCAGCUAGCAGGUGUGGCCGCUACUUCGUUGUGUGGGUCACCACUGAAACCAUCAGUUUCCAUUCGAGGUGGUGACCAAGGAUGAGAGCAGUGAAGUGUGGGUGGAACUGACUGGGCUUCUAGUCCCGCUGAGUUACCCAAGUCCAACCACUCGCCCUGCUGUGCCGGCUCUAUGGGAACAUUUACUUGUGUUGCACCUUGUAAGCAGUGGACUCGGGGGCCAGGAGCUCUGGUGGAGAGAAUGGGAAAAGCGGUUCCAGCUCUGUCCCGGUUUCUUCGUAGUGCUGCUGAUGGACGGCUGUCAAGGGACCAGACAGCGCCAGCUCGGCACUGCUAACCAGUGCCCGUGAAAUGGUCCUGCAAAAGCCCAAUCAUUAUGAAACAGAAAACUCCUGAGAUUAGACAGUUACAGUAAAGUACAACACUGGAAGUGCACGUUACGCCAGAGGGCCUUUUGGUGACAACACCACUUUGGGUGUCUCAAAACCAUUUUUUAAUCCUUAGCUAAGCAAAAAAACCAAAACAAACCCCCCCUUGCAUCACACACAUACACACACACACACACACACACACACACAGAGUCACCCCUACCCAAGAAAAAGAAACAACCCCAAACCAAAAAACCUUCCUCGAAACCAAACCACACAGAAGUACAGGACUGAGUGUGGGCUCUGGAUCAUACUGCUUGGGUUUAUCUUCUACUUCCUGUGUAAGCAGACACUAACUCAGGCUCCUUUUCUGAAAAGCAAGGGUUAUGCUAGUGCUGCCUCCCCUGGCCUCGGUGAAGAUCAGCCAGGAGGAGGCGUGCCUUCCCCAGGUCUUCGCAGGGCACGGGUGUUACCAGAGCACUGAGCAGUUGGAGACAGCCGUAACGGUCAGAUGAAAACAAUUUCUGAACUCCGUCUACAGAAGGCAUUGUUCGUGUGUCACAGAAAAAAACCUCUACUUUGUAACACUAAAAAUUUCAUACAGUUUUAAUCACUUUUCUAAUUUCAUUUUCAACUUUAAUAUUUUCUAUGGAUACAUGAGUCAGAUGCAGGAAUUCCGUGUUUCUCAAACAUUCGUUUGUGCUUUUGAGUGUGAGAAUUAACAGGAGGAACCAAGUAAAUGAAGAUAGGAAAACAUUAGAUUCAACAUAAAUUCUUUUUUCAGACAUUGCUUGAGAAAUUAUAAUUAGGGUACCUUUCUGUAAAUCGAAACAGAACUGUCUUCUACUAGAAUAAUAUAUUUAUCCAAUUACUGAAAAAAGCAGGCAUAAUUCCAAAUACCAUUCAGAAGUAUCUAAAGCUUUCUAGUUUCUUGAGAAAAAAAAAAACCUCACAUAAUUUCACAUCCCCACCAGCUACCACAUUUCUGUGUUCUCUGAAAGUAAAAAUUUUCCAGUAAAA